UGGCCAAUAUGAUUCAUGCAUUCCAUGCUAAUUACAUUGUCAUUUGCAUCAAUUUCCUAAUUACUUUCUAUUAAAAACGUGUGUUUGAUCAUCGAGGCUUUAAAAUCUUUAUAUAGUGAUGAUAUUUGACUCCUUGACCUAAGUAGUGAAUUUCACAUUGAGUUAUUAUAGAAAAUUAGGUUAACUAAAUGUUGAAGAUUAGCUUGGUAAAUAAUGGAAAUCGAAAAGGUCAGAAAUUAGUAUCGACAAAGGUUCAAGCUUUCCAUUCGGUGGACCGAGGUCAUCUUAAAUCCUAGAUAGGUAAUUGACACAUUUGGAAUGUGAGGCAUGAAGUGGCAUGAUCACAAUGCAAUAAUAUAUGUCUCAUAUGACAUUAUAAAUAUUGAGGUGCGAAUUGUUGAAAUCGGUAGAGAAUUGGGUGUCAAUCGGGUAAGAAUUUAAAUGAACGGUUGAGAAAUUAACUCUGUAAAAUACUUUAGGAUCUUAGGACAAGUGAAAGGGGUUGUAAGCAUGUCAAAAUAAGCCAAGGAUACUUGAUUUUUACCUGCAAUGAUAGAUAUAAAAUCAGGUUUUUGCUUCAAGUGACCACCUCUUGCUUGUACACAUCGUGCUUGGGAUGUUUAUCAUUUUAACACUCAAUUUCUUCAACCUUAAGGCAUCGAUCUCGUCUAUACUCCCUAAAAACUUAAUAUAGGAUAGAUAUAUAAAUCUUAAAAGUCACAAAUGCAUCCAAAUAUAAUGGUUGAAAGUCAAGUAUGGCUGCAAUGAAGACAGAUCGUGCUUGGACACCUCAUGCUUGGGAUAGUUGUCAUGUUAACGCCCAAUUGCUUUGGGCUUAAGGCAUCAAUUUCGUGUCACACUCCCUAAGAACUGAAUAUAGGACGAAUAUAAAUAUUUUAUAUCAUAAAUGGAUCCAAAGAUAAUAGAAAGAAAGUCAAAUGUUGCUACAACGGAGACACCUCCUACUUACCUUGUGAAAACUUGUCAAUCGAACAUUUAAUUCCUUCAGCCUUAAGACUUCCAUCACGUCUCCAAAAUCAUUAUCACUUUAUAUUGGAUAGAUAUACAUCUUAUAAGACACAUAUGCCUCCAUAUAAGGUAAGGGAAAGGUCAAAGUUUGCUGCAUGAAUCCACCUCCUGCUUGGACAGCUCAUGCUUUGAUGAUACUUGUCUUUUAAUUACACUUUCCUUCAUCCUUAAGCAUCAUUCACGACUCCAACCCUUGAGGCUACUGAUACAUCUCUUGGAUAAGACAUUUAAACAUCCAAAUAUAUCCCCAAGUGAAAUGGAGAGCAAAGGAAGCAAAGAGAGAUAGAAAAGUAAGAAGCUGGGAUUGCAGUUUGUAAAGGUGAUUUUCUGACUUCGAGUGAAAAAGGAUAUUGAUCUAAUCUCUAUAGAAGCUUGCACACACAAAGGUGAAAGGUGAUAAUGGAACCACAUAAAGAGCAUGGCUAGUUGUGGAGCUCCUAUAGGAUUCCAGAGUUCGAUUUACAUGGAUGACGACCUGUAGGGUUAUUUUGUAGGCUGCUAUC